GCACAACGCGAAGAACCUUACCAGGCCUUGACAUCCAAUGAACUUUCUAGAGAUAGAUUGGUGCCUUCGGGAACAUUGAGACAGGUGCUGCAUGGCUGUCGUCAGCUCGUGUCGUGAGAUGUUGGGUUAAGUCCCGUAACGAGCGCAACCCUUGCCUUAGUUACCAGCACGUAAUGGUGGGCACUCUAAGGAGACUGCCGGUGACAAACCGGAGGAAGGUGGGGAUGGACGUCAAGUCAUCAUGGCCCUUACGGCCUGGGCUACACACGUGCUACAAUGGUCGGUACAAAGGGUUGCCAAGCCCGCGAGGGUGGAGCUAAUCCAUAAAACCGAUCGUAGUCCGGAUCGCAGUCUGCAACUCGACUGCGUGAAGUCGGAAUCGCUAGUAAUCGUGAAUCAGAAUGUCACGGUGAAUACGUUCCCGGGUCUUGUACACACCG
rnacentral:rRNA from 1 species